rnacentral:misc_RNA from 1 species
GAUGAAGAACGUAGCGAAAUGCGAUAAGUAAUGUGAAUUGCAGAAUUCAGUGAAUCAUCGAAUCUUUGAACGCACAUUGCGCCCGCCAGCACUCUGGCGGGCAUGCCUGUUCGAGCGUCAUUUCAACCAUCAAGCCCCCAGGGGCUUGUGCUGGGGCCCUGCGGCUGCCCGCAGGCCCUGAAAACCAGUGGCGGGCUCGCUAGUCACACCGAGCGCAGUAGCACAUCUCGCUCAGGGCGUGCGGCGGGCUCCUGCCGUGAAACCCCCCACUGUAACCCCAAAGGUUGACCUCGGAUCAGGUAGGAAUACCCGCUGAACUUAAGCAUAUCAAUAAGAGGAGGA